rnacentral:lncRNA from 1 species
CCACUCUGUUUGUUAUCUCCCAUCAACAGAUACUUGGCAGUAUGUAUGUUAAAGCCACACAAUAAGAAAGGAAGAAAUUACAUAUAUAUGAAAAGGCACUUUUCAAGCAAGUAAUUUCACGCGGAUGUAAUAUUACAAGGGGUUGGUUUAUAUCUGCUAACAACCAAGUUAACAGUAUAGGCUAUUGGUCUAAGGAGAUUUGGUUGACUAGCCAUUACAAAAUUAAGUUGCAAUCUAAUUAUCCCAUGAUUACAAAUGAAUCAAAUAGUAGCAACAGCAGCAGUAGCCCAGCAACAGCAGCAGUAGCCCAGCAACAGCAGCAUUCAGUGAAAAGCCAUAUAAUACUAACAUCCAAAAUCUGCAUAAUGCUUUUGUUUGAUCAACUUUUCUUGCAUAAUCUGAUUUCUUUUAUCUUUUACUAAGCCAAACAAAAUUCAAACGAAGUAUUGUUUCCUAGCUGGAAUCUCACCUUUUUUUUCUUUUUUUCUGAGUCGUGCCUUAAAUGAGCUUGCCUUCCUCUUUGGACUUCGGAUAUGUUCUAAGAAUUUGCUUGUAGCUAGCUUGGUUACCCGAACCCACUCAAAAUAGCUGACAGUCACACCUCCAGCAUUUACAUAUAUAAUAAUUUUCAGCACAAAAUCUACAGAAUCUACAGUACUAUAACUCCUUUAUUAGACAUAAUCUACAGCACAAAAUAAUUUUCUUUUAUACAACAGAUAUUUUUUCCUUCAAAUCAGUACAAUUUAGACUUAGAACCAAACUGAAACAACUUGGAAGCAAUGUUACCUCGUCUGCUUCAGGAUCAGUAGGAGCUGCUUCUAUGAUGCAAACCCUAACUUCAAACCGGCAAUUGAAAGGGGCUUUGAGAGAGAAUCGGGGAAAGGGGUUCUGACAAUUCGCGAUUCGCAAAUGGUUGAGACAGGAAUUCGAGAAUCGCGAAUUUCAAAUGGGUUCGAAUUUCAGACUUGUUUUGAGAGAGAGAGGGAAUUUGUGGAAAACAUGCUCAGAUUGCUCAGAAUCAGGGAGAGAGAAUCGCGAAAUGGGUUCGAAUGGCAGAAAGGGAUUUCAAAUGUGUUCGAGAGAAUUGGCAGAAUUUGUGACCGGGUCUUUGCUUCAGUUUGCCCUUCUGUGACCCGCGUAUUUUUUUACCCUUGGUCCGUUGCUAGUCCGUGUUUUUGGUCCGCUGCAGAUCCG